rnacentral:rRNA from 1 species
GACGAACGCUGGCGGCGUGCUUAACACAUGCAAGUCGAACGGGCCUGUCUUCUUUUUUGGGGGUGGGUUGAGUGGCGAACGGGUGAGUAUCACGUGAGUAACCUGCCCUUCGGUCCUGGAUAACCGCUUGAAAGGGCGGCUAAUACGGGGUGGUCCGGUUGGUCCGCAUGGGCUGGUCGGGAUAGAUUCACUGUUUUUGGUGUUUCGGCGGGGGAUGGGCUCGCGGCCUAUUGGCUUGUUGGUGGGGUGAUGGCCUACCAAGGCGGUGACGGGUAGCCGGGAUGGGGAGGGGGGCGGCCGGACUGGGACUGAGGUACGGCCCAGACUGCUGCGGGGGGGAGCGGUGGGGGGUAUUGCACAAUGGGCGGUAGCCUGAUGCAGCGACGUCGCGUGAGGGAUGGAGGCCUUCGGGUUGUGAACCUCUGUUUCCGGUGGUGAAGGCCCUGUCCGUGUGGUGGGGUUGACGGUAGCCGGGGAUGAAGCGCCGGCUAACUACGUG